rnacentral:misc_RNA from 1 species
GUGCACGCUCUACCACGCCUCGCGUACCCACGUCAGGAAAGAAAUCCUCAUCCUCGCAGCUCUGCUUAACAAAAACACUCUGCACUCCCACUGCAAAUCCCCAAGCCAACACUUGGAGAAAUGGUAGUUUCUCUCAGGCUACCUACUCUCGCCUCCCUCUUUUUCUCCUCUCCAUCGAUACGUCGGUCACCAGCGUUUUCUGUACGUCGCCUGUAUUUCCGUCCGCCGCCUCUAAUGGCUUCCUUCUGCGCCCAGAGCGCGGCGUCGAGCCCUCCUGAGACGGAGGACCAAGUUAAUAACCUCAAGAGUCGUGUCAACCAGGACCGAGUCAUUACUCCCCGAUCUCAAGAUUUCAAUGCUUGGUAUCUUGAUGUUAUUGCCAACGCCGAGCUCGCUGAUUAUGGUCCUGUCCGUGGUACUAUGGUCAUUCGUCCUUAUGGAUAUGCUAUCUGGGAGGCUAUCCAGGAUUAUUUGAAUGUUAAGUUCAAGGAGACAGGGCACAGCAAUAUGUAUUUCCCAC